AUGGAGGAGAGCGAGACCCAGCGCUGGGCGUCGCUGAUGCCGGAGCUCGUCGACCGCAUCGCCAACCUGCUUCUCGACGCCGCCGACGUCGACUGCUACAUGGCCCUCCGCGCCGUCUGCCACAGCUGGCGCGCGGCGACCGCCGACCCGGGGGGCACGCUGGACCCGCGCUUCCGGCCGCGCGGCUGGGUCAUGCUCGACUACCCGUCCCACGGCGUCGACGCGCGCCUCCUCGUCAACACCGCCACGGGCCGCUUCCACGGCCGGCGCAUGCCCAUCCUCCGCGCCUACUUCGUCGUCUCCGUCACCGCCGACGGGCUGCUCGUGCUGGCCGCCAGGGACCCGCCCCACGCCGCCUGCGUGCUCCACCCCUUCACCGGCCACGUGGUCCGCUUCGCAGCCCGCAUGCGCGCCCACGUGCUCGCCGCCGCCGUCUCCGGCUCGUCCCCGCCCUACCUCGUCCUCUACUGCCAGGACACCAUGAAGCUCUACCGGGCCAGCCCCGACAGCAAGGAGUUCGUCAGGUACAAGAAGAGGUACGCGUACCCUCUGGUCAGGAAGGCCGUCCAGGGCCUCGUCGCCGUCGACGGCCACCAGGGGCAUCUGCCGCCGCUCCCGGCCGCGCUGGUCGCCAAGAUCGCCGAUCUGAUGAGCCCUUUCAACGACGUGCCCGCCGACGUGCCCGCCGAGGAGAUCGACACCGCCUCCUGGAAGCGCUGCUUCGUGGUGGAGUCCGCCGGGGAAACGCUGGUCGUCUUCAAGCUGGAGAGCCGCGUGGAGGUCUUCAAGAUGGACAUGGCCGCAAGCACGCUCGAGCGCAUCAAGAGCAUCGGCAGCCGCGCCAUCUUCGCCGGCGGCUGUCACAGGUGCGUCUGCCUCGACGCCGACAAGUUCCCGUCCAUCGAAGCCAACUGCGUAUACUUCACGGACCGUCUGGGCUCGGAGUCCACCGACGUGUACCAGCUGAGCGACGGGGAGCAGUGUGAGAGCGUGGUGAUGAGCGCUGCAACCGGAGACGCGCCGUCCGUGAACCUGAACCUGCCGGCCUUCCUGUGCCAUCCUAUGACCGCGCACCCGUUCACCAUCAUCCAGCUGCUCUCCAUCUACACUUUCAACAUGCAGUCUGGUCAGGUGACCCAGGUCGUGGAGGAGGAAGACCGUAUCCUUGAGAAGCUCCGGACUGGUGAAAUGUCCUUCUCUGACCUUCUCCGAGCUCUUGGUGUUAGAUGUGCCGCCGAGGAGGCAUACCAGAGGCCGGCCUGGACCGCGACGGGGGUCCCCGCUUCGCGCCGCCUAGAGACUCCGCCAUGCGCCACGGGGCUCUGGCCCGGGUCGCCGCGCCUCCUCCCGCUCCUCGACGUCGUCGCGGGCUCCGGCGUGGCCUUGGACCUGCAGGACAUGCUCCGGCGCUUCUACUUCGACAACGUCUGCGGCGUGGCAUUCGGCGUCGAGAGCUCCACUCUGCUCAAGCUCGAGGCAGGGGAUUGCGGCAGUCGGAGGCACGAGGCAUUCUUCGUGGCGUUCGACGACGCCGUCGAGAUCUCCUUCGCGCGGCGGGUGGAGUGCGGCGGUCGGCGGUGA
rnacentral:rRNA from 1 species